AGGACGAACGCUGGCGGCGUGCUUAACACAUGCAAGUCGAACGAUGAACCUCCUUCGGGAGGGGAUUAGUGGCGAACGGGUGAGUAACACGUGGGCAAUCUGCCCUUCACUCUGGGACAAGCCCUGGAAACGGGGUCUAAUACCGGAUAUGACACACGACCGCAUGGUCUGUGUGUGGAAAGCUCCGGCGGUGAAGGAUGAGCCCGCGGCCUAUCAGCUUGUUGGUGGGGUGAUGGCCUACCAAGGCGACGAC
rnacentral:rRNA from 1 species